CCCAGCGGGAGGAGGGGCUGCGCCGGGGGCGGCUGCCCCGCGGCCGGAUGGCGCGCGCCGGGGAGGGGCCGCGGGCGGCAGGCGGAAGCGGCCGACCCCAGCCCCCAACUCCGCGUACCGGCUUACACCCAUUUCCUGCCUUCCUAGUUGGCAGCUUGAGAUGACAGGAUGCGAGGGAACGAGCGACGUCCUGGGGCCCCUCGCUCUGGGCCGGCGUUUUCAGGACACGGCUUCAAACCCCCCGCCAACGCCGGGUCCUCCCAAACCUUCCAGCCUCCCCGCACCGGCCGUCGCUCUCCGCGAGGCUUUACGGGCCCCUGCUCAGGCUCCUCUCACCGCCUUUAUCAGGCCGUUCUGAAAUUAUUUGUUUACCUGGCUGCCUCCCUUACUCUUCUGGAGAGCCUCCCUGCUAGACCACACCGUGCCCUGUUUAUCUUUAUAGUCCCACGGCCAUUUAAGUACGCUACCUGGUAUAUAGGAAGCAAUCAGUAAAUAUUUGUUGGCUAAGUGAAUGUUCCUCAAGCCCGCCGAACUGGAGGCCAACACAGAUGAUCUUCAGAGAGGGUCAAAGCAGCUUGAAGAAGGAAGAGGGCUCAGCAUUCUGGGAGGUCAGCACAGCACGCCUGUUUAUGCACCAACCUCGGAAGGACUGUGGGUUUCUGUUUCCUCACCUGUGAAAUGGGAAUAGUUCCAGUUACCUCCCAGGGGGUUGCAAUCAGAGGACAUUACAGGUUGGUACAGCUACAGCACCCAGCAUCCAUUCCUGCCCAGUUUAAGUCGGCAGUACAUGGAACCUAACAUUAUUAAGGAAAUUUCCACUUUUCCGGGGUCAUAGAGAGCUUCUCCAUUCCUGUAUCAUAAACACAAAUUUUAAACUGCUUAUAUCAGUAGGUUCUCCCUCACUUCCCAUGCCCAGGAAUUCUCUCACACAGCAUGCUGUUCCUUUCCAGCACAGCACCAAUCACAAUUUCUAAUUAUUGGCUUGCUUCACUGUUUAUCUCUCUCUGCCCCUCACCCCCCCAACAUUCUUCACCCUAUACUGGUUUAAGUGCUGCUAGGAGUGGGGUGGGACUGGGGGUGAAGAUAAGACUCCUGCUUUUAGGGAGUUUAAACUGGUGUCCUAGAGACAAGAUACCCAAAACAACUCCAGGGAUUCUGGUUGAAAUUGUAGAAAGCAAAGACUUGUGUUCAGAGCAUGGUGACAAAAAAAAAAAAAAAGAGAGUGGUAAUCAUUCGAUUUACCUAUUGGAUUUUCCUUGGGUUGGGGGGUAGGGGGAGUCGGAAGAUUUUGAUAGAUUUAAUUGCUGUCCUGAUGUCAUGUCUCUCUAUGGGAGAAAAUGUGUAUGUUGGAUGAAAAUAAACCAAGAAUCUCGAAAUUGCAAUGGGAGUUCGGAAGAGGCAAGGGCCACAAUUAAUCUGGAAACUUGGACAGCCCAGUCCAUUCCCAAUCCCUCCCUCAGUUACAUAAGGAACCACGAGGGGGCAAUGUCUUCCUGAUCAAUGGCUGAGUGGUGGUCUUGGCCCCUGUGCCUCCGAUACUGCCGGCACUUUGCCCUCCUUGGCCAGUGCCUGUUACUGAAUACACUCCACAGAAAGAUAUUGUCUUUCUGGAGCCUGGCAAAGGCCCAAGAAAAAUGACAAUUGAUCUAGUCAUUGAUGGUUCCAGUCAGACUCCACUUAUGAGUAGGUGGAAGAUGUUGUAGGAUUCCAGGAUGCUGGGAGAACCUCCCCUACCCCCACCCAGGGAAAUGUGGCUUAAUUCCAAGUGUAGAACCUGAUUCCUUUGUCUUUAAGCCAAGCCAGCACUUUGUCCAUUGUUAACAGUUAAAAACCUCUGGGAUAAAAAAUGAAAAUACAGGCAAUGAGAGAAUCUUGAUUUGUUCAUUGUUGUGUUCCCAACAUCUAGAUAGUGCCUCAUGCAUAGUAGGCAUUCAGUAAUUAUUUUUGAAUGAAUGCACACAUUAAAUCUUAUCAGAUCUUGAUUCUCAGGCAUGAAUGACAUCAUCAGAUCCUUCCAAGACCCUGCAGAAGGGUCUGAAUUAGUGGAGGCGUCUCAGCAUGGAGAGCCCCCACGAGGGCACUAGCAGAGUCAUAGUAGUGAUCUUUAGUCGUUAUUUUGCAGGGGGAGACCCUAGGUAGAGAACAUUUGUGGAGACAACUGAUGAGAUCUCAAAAAUAAAAAAUCCCACCACUCAGCCGGUCCACCUAACACAUCAGGCAAUUAACAAUACAGAAGGGAGGCCUAGAACAUAUCCCAAUGGUAAGCAUGACAUUCAAGGUGUUUUCAGAGAAGUAUAUGGGGAUGGGGGUUAUAUGCCAUGAAAAGAAGGACUCCUGUUUUCUGUCCUUCCCAUGAAGAAUGGCGUAGACUUACCUGGAAAAACAGUAGGGUCGUAUAGUACCAACAAAACCCAAUGAAAAUCUGUAAAUAGACUUUGGCUGUUUAUAAAACUUAGGGGAAAGGGAUCAUUCAGGAUAUAAGUGAUCUUUCUGACCUGUUUACUACCUCAAAGAAAGAAAGUUUCAAAACUGAGAUCUCAGCAGCACUAGUUUCCAGUCGCCCUACAAGCUACCCAUGAGACAACAAAGGGAUUUUGUAUCCUAGGAAAGUAGGGCUAAUGACCACGAAACAUCUGCUUUCUCUCCUGCCCACUACUUUACCGCUUUGCUUCUAGCCUGCAAGGUUACAGACUAGAUUGAAAGGGAAAUAUUGUAUGCACCUGUAGUUUUAUUACUUAUCUCUGUUUCUCUGGCAGUGUUCAUUUUGAGGCUUGCUUUAAGAAAUCCAAACCUAUAAUUACAUCUUAAAUGUCUCUGGGAAUUGCAGACAUUGAAGAUCUAUUUUGAGGUAGUUUGCAUGGCAUGGGUUUUGUGCCUGUGUUGGCAGCAGAAAGCUACAGUAUCUACCACGUGAAUUGUGAUUAUCUGUUAACACUUCUGCCUCCUCUGCUAGACCCAAAAAGUUCUCGAGGCCAGAGGCUAUGUUUUAGAGUUUUGUCAUCCUUGACAUCUCUCGCCCUACCCACCCCCCCAACACCUCCAGGCCAUCAUCAUCUUCCCCGAUUUUAUUUAUUUAUAAUUGUAGCUUUAAAAAACACACAACCGCAUUUGCCAUUCUUCAGCGCACAGUUCAGUAGUGUGGAGUAUAUAUAUUCACAUUGUUGGGCAACAUCCUCUUGAUUUUUACCUCCUAAAUAGUUGUGAGAUUCAAUCACUUCCCUCCGAUCUUUUGUGGAAGCCCUUGCAGCCACGUGGAGAGGCUCACGUGGAAGAGAAGUAGGUCCCAGACUCACAGCUCCAGCUGAACUCUCUCAGCGGACAGCUGGUACCAAUUGCCAGCCUUUUGAGUGAGUUCUCUGAGAAGUGGAUACUCCAGCCCUGGUUGAGCUGCUCCAGCUGAUGCCACACGGAAGAGAGAUGAGCUGUCUCCGGAGUCAUGCCCAAACUGCAAAACUGUUAGCCAAAAAGUAAAUGCCGUUGUUUUAAAACACUGAGUUUGAAGGUGGCUUGUUAUACAGCAAUAGAUAACUGAGACAUAAGUGCAUAUCUAGAGGUAACGUCCUGGUGUGUAGAAACUUAGAACAUGUGGCAGUGGCUUUGGGACCAGGUGGAGGAGGGAAGCUGGAAGAACUUUGAGGAAUCUACUAGUGAAGAGCAUUACUAUGGGGCAGUGAGUAUUGUCGUAACAGGCUAGAGAGAGGGGGACCCGAUUUAUCCAUUGGAAAAACAAUUAGCUGAACAAGAUUGCUGGUACAUGUAAGAUAGAAAAGAUACCUAAUGAACAAGUGGAUCUGGUUAAGGAGAUAUUUGGAUAGAUGUUGUAAAGGUUGAAGAAUUUUGGGGGGCACCUGGGUGUCUCGGUUGGUUAAGUGUCCGACUUUGGCCCAGGUCAUGAUCUCAGGUUUGUUGAGUUUGGGCCCCGUGUCGGGUUCUGUGCUGACAGCUCAGAGCCUGGAGCCUGCUUCAGAUUCUGUCUCCCUCUCUCUCUGCCCCUCCCCCACUUGCUCUCUGUCUCUCUUUCUCUCAAAAAUAAAUAUUAAAAAACUAGAAAAAAGAAAGGUUGAAGAAUUUCUUUCAGAUACUUAUAGUACAAGUGAGAUGAGCCAAAAAAAAAAAAAAGAAAGAAAAGAAACUGUUCAAUUUUUAUCCCAAUUUAGAGGAAACAUAAAGAAGCCAGGACUUCC